rnacentral:rRNA from 1 species
AUUGAACGCUGGCGGCAGGCCUAACACAUGCAAGUCGAACGGGUGGCGGACGGGUGAGUAAUGUCUUGGAAACUGCCUGAUGGAGGGAGAUAAGUACUGGAACCGGUAGCUAAUACCGCUUACCAUCCGCUGUGCCCAGAUUGGAUGAGCGUGUUGGUGGGGUAACGGCUCACCAAGGCGACGAUGCCUAGCUGGUCUGAGAGGGUGACCAGCCACAAUGGAACUGAGACACGGUCCAGACUCCUACGGGAGGCAGCAGUGGGGAAUAUUGCACAAUGGGCGCAAGCCUGAUGCAGCCAUGCCGCGUGUAUGAAGAAGGCCUUCGGGUGGUAAAAUACUUUCAGCGGGGAGGCGUUAGCCGAAGAAGAAGCACCGGCUAACUACGUGCCAGCAGCCGCGGUAAUAC